UGUGCUCUUGUGAUUGUGACUGACACAGGCAGCACCCUUUUGCAGAAGUAGAUGUGCGUUGCUGAGAAAUUUUCUGCCUAAGUUCUGGUUUUCUUUGCAGCACCCAGCAUUUGUUUCUAACACAGGGAAAGAGUGAGCUGGAGAAACCUCUCAAAUUCAAGAAAGCGUAAAGCAAAUUGAACAAUACGGGUGAGGGAGCACGGACUAUUCUCUCAUGUUGAAUGUGGCACUUUUUACAUACAAGCAGGAGAGCAACUACACCAAGAUUUUGGAAAACAUGUUAUGUAAGGGUUAAUUGUGACCUCUAUGAUGGGGAUAUGAUAAAGAAGAAAAGUACCUCACAGCGAUGAUUGGCAUGUGAUCACUUAGCCAAUGAGAUAAGAGGCUGUAGAAACGAUGUGAUAAUGACAUCUCCUGAGUUGCAGGUCCAUAUUAGAAGUGGAUAUGAAGUAAACAUUGAGCUUUCCUCACAUUUAAUUAACAAGCUUUAUUAUAGAUACAGCUCAAAUUAGUUAAUUCAGGAAGCUUAUUUUGUAGAAAUUAAAACAUUAAUAAACACAUACAUUUAGAAAUAAAGAACUCGGCUGACCCUUUGACUCUUUGAAACAAGUGGCCUUCCAUGCUGUGAAAGAUUGUAGCCACUCUUUGAGACAUUGGAAUGGUGUCCAUUGCAUUUUAUCAAGUUAACUAUAGGUCAGCCUGGGAAAUCUGAAGUUUCCUUAUCUCCUGUCACUGUGGUUGCUGUGAGAUUUUGUGUCAUCACUGUGCUGUCUUCCCUCUCCACAUGAAGGUGAGCUGUCUGGCUUCACUCUAACGUUUGUGAUUUCACGCCCGACCUGAUUGUUGCCAAGCAAUUCCUUUGUUUGGAGAAUUCUGUGCUUUGUUUAGAAUUUUUUAAAGGUUCUUUUCCUGUGGUCAGAUUUCUGUUUGCUACUGUGUCUUAUGCCUUGUUCUCCUACAGAGAAGAUUCUUUGAAGUUAGUGGAAGCUCAGCUUAAAGGAAGAUCUACUGCUCUGUGUGGUGGAUGACCAUGGGGGAGCGAGAAGGCAGCCUCCGGCUUUUGUUUUGUGUGUGUGUGUGUGUGUGUGUGUGUGUGAUGUACCUGGAAAAAUAACACGACUAGGAUUAAAGAGUAUGUUUGGCAUGUUUAAAAUAAAUUGUAAACCAAACGUAUUUUAAAGAAUUUAUACAAAUUUGUCAUUUAGUAAAAUGAAUGACUAUUGAGUAUUCAUGUCAAUAAAACAACCACUUGAAUACAACAAA
rnacentral:lncRNA from 1 species